CGUCCCCUGUAACCGGAAACCGCCGAUAUGCCGGGGCCGAAGCCCGAGGGGCGGUUCCCGAAGCCGCCUCCGGAAGCCAGGGCCGAACGAUGAGUCCUCGUCCCGCGGGGUGCCCGGUGGGGGAGGCACGGCUGAAGGGCCGUGCUAACCCCCUUUAGGCCCCAAACCCCGCAAGGCCCGGAAGGGAGCAGCGGUAGGGGCCACGGAGCACGCUCGCGGGGGUGCGGGGAUGAGGUAGGCCCUGGUGAAAGGAGGCGGUGGAGGGUUCCCACCCUCGGGCGUGCCCGCCGCCGCUAG
rnacentral:SRP_RNA from 1 species